AGAAAAGCAGUCGAUUUCAAGUAGAAGAAGUAAGCACCUGCUUGUUCUCAAAGAUGCUUCUGGUUUUUAAUCAGCUCAGAAGUCUGGAAAACCCUUGUAAGCAAGAAAACAAGCUAUUUCAUCUGGCUUCGGUUUCCAUUUCACCGCCAAGAAGGAUUGAUGGCUUGCGAGUCUGACCUGUCACUCAUGGAAAUUAGCUUGCUUUAUUCAGUUACCCAGGGAACGUUUGGGUUUAUGGACUCCUCUACUGUUAUGAAUUAUACAUGGCCUUUUUUUUCUUCUAUUGUAGAUGGAUCUAUAGUUAAGUAUGCAAUGUUCGAGAGCUUUUAUGGGUCAUAGAAAGCCUGUCAUGAUAGGACUGCAACUAUACUAAAUACUCAACUUUCACUCAUAUACAAAUAAGCAAUCGAAAAUAAGGAUGGGGAAGAUGGUGGAAGAGUAAGGUCCCCAAGUCACCUGUCCCCUCCAAAUUACCUAGAUAACCUUCAAAUCAUCCUGAAAAUUUAUGAAUCCGGCCUGAGAUUUAAAGAGAGAACAGCUGGAAUGCUACAGUGAGAAAAGUUCACGCUUCUAUCAAGUUUACAAGAACAGUUGUUGCCUCAGGAAGACUACACCCUGGAACAUCCUCACUCAGAAAACAAUCACAGGAUGUAGAAGCCACCAGAAGGCAGGGAAGCUCUUACAAUAUGUUGAGGAGAAGGUUGUUCUUCAAGCAAGUGUGUCCCAAGGACCUUCUCAGCAACACUAGGAGAUAAUAAAACAUUCGGGUAAAACUACCAGUGCUGCCAAGAUGAGCUCUAUAACCAAGGGGACUUCCAAGUGCCUCAGGAAUCCUCAGUACCCAAUGGCAUUAAGUGUCCUGCCUGCUACAACGUGUAUGAUGUUUCCUGCGACCCAGUUCUUCUUGCCUGCACUGGUACAGAGACAAAGCGUGUGGAAGUUAUUGGCAUAGAUAGUCCAAUAUUUAUGAUUUUUGCCAUGGGUUGUGCUACUGAAACUGUCCUCAACUUGAGGAAUAUAAGUAUAUUGAAUAACAUAAAAAUCCGUACCAACUGUACAGAACAAAGCAAUGGAGAUCCCCACUGAUGUUCAUCACCUCAUCAAUCUUGACUGGUCCCUUCUUGCUCAAAGUCUUGCUUUGAAGUUUGCACACUUCCAAGCUCAUAAUUCUACAAACCUGAAAAAGUUGGAGUCCUCUGAUGUCUCCCCUCCCCAACAUUCUCCAGACAUUGCAGAAUUAAGUUGCUGAUAUUUCCUUAAGUAUGUUUGUAAUCUUUAUUAGUAACUCAGGUUAAAAAAAAUCUUAUUGAAGGGGGGUCUCUGGGUGGCUCAGUGGUUGGCACCUGCGUUUGGCGCAGGGAGUGAUCCUGGAAUCCUGGGAUCUAGUCCUACAUCAGGAUCCCUGCA